GAGAGCAGUGCUGCGGCGAGUGCGGGGCGAGAGGUUCGCGCUGGUGGAGCACCCCAGCUUGCAGGUUCAGCGUGGGUGUCUCUCCCGGGCACAUCGAGCUGUCUAGAGGAACCCUCUUCCCCUGGCUUCACGGCCCAGAGGACGCACGGCUCUCUCCCCUCGAGAGCGUGUUUCGUCGCCCGCGCGGGGAACGCAAAGUGCUAGGGUAGUCACGGCCACUUCACGCCGAGGGACAUCUCAUCUCGCCCUCCAGGUCGUGAGCGCACCCAUUCCGCUCACUGAGGCCGAAAGCUUCGGACCUCCGUGGGCCCUGAGACUUCAGCGUUCCAUGUCUGCUGUGCUGUGGAACCCAGAGUGCUCUUGCCUGGAUGGCUGAGAAUCCCUUGGACCCUGGAAGCACCUACUCCAUGAUGGCCCGGUAUAGUGCAGGCUCAAUAUAAUCUUCCCGGUAUCUUGAGUUGAUAAC
ensembl:lncRNA KDM4A-AS1 KDM4A antisense RNA 1